rnacentral:rRNA from 1 species
GGGUGCGUAGGUGGGCAGGUAAGUCAGUGGUGAAAUCUCCGGGCUUAACCCGGAAACUGCCGUUGAUACUAUCUGUCUUGAAUGUAGUGGAGGUGAGCGGAAUAUGUCAUGUAGCGGUGAAAUGCUUAGAUAUGACAUAGAACACCCAUUGCGAAGGCAGCUCGCUACACUAUUAUUGACACUGAGGCACGAAAGCGUGGGGAUCAAACAGGAUUAGAUACCCUGGUAGUCCACGCCCUAAACGAUGGAUACUCGACAUCAGCGAUACACAGUUGGUGUCUGAGCGAAAGCAUUAAGUAUCCCACCUGGGAAGUACGACCGCAAGGUUGAAACUCAAAGGAAUUGA